AGCCUGGGUAUGGUCUGCCUGUCUGAUGGCCGCCUCCUCCCCAGCCUGGAGGUGACCUGGUGUCCCCUCUCUUGCUCACUUCCAGUCCCCAGGACCUGGCGCAGAGUGGGUGCUUGGCCCCUCUCCCCUGCCUGGGCCGCUAUGUGGUUUUGGUUUUCAGUGCCAGGGAUCGAACCCAAAGCCUUGCACAGGCUCGAGCAGUGCCCCGUGGCUGAGCUCCGCCUCCAGGCUGAGCAGGACUCACCCGCCCGUGUGUCACUGGGUGAUCGCCCCGUGGGCCUCUGAGCCUGUGGCCUCCUGGACUCUGGGUUCAGCCAACUGCGGAUCGAAGGUACGCGGAGGAAACCACCUCUAUACUGAGUGUGCGUGGAUGGUUCUUCGAGUCAUUUGCUAAACGUGUGAUAACCAGUUCCUUGGCGUUUGCAUCAUGUCUGAUGUGACGAGCAAUCUAGGGGUGAUUCAGUAUGGGCUGUUCGUAGGCUGUAUGCAAAGCCCACACCACUGGAUAUCGGGCACCUGGGCAGUGAUCUGCAGAAGGCAGAGGUCCUGGAGCCAGAACCUGCAGUAUUGAGGGAUGGCUGUGCUCUUAUUAAGAAUAAAUUAGAAUAGGGAGACACUUG